rnacentral:misc_RNA from 1 species
GAUGAAGAACGUAGCGAAAUGCGAUACGUAAUGUGAAUUGCAAAUUCAGUGAAUCAUCGAGUCUUUGAACGCACAUUGCGCCCCCUGGUAUUCCGGGGGGCAUGCCUGUCCGAGCGUCAUUGCUGCCCUCAAGCACGGCUUGUGUGUUGGGCCCCGUCCUCCGAUCCCGGGGGACGGGCCCGAAAGGCAGCGGCGGCACCGCGUCCGGUCCUCGAGCGUAUGGGGCUUUGUCACCCGCUCUGUAGGCCCGGCCGGCGCUUGCCGAUCAACCCAAAUUUUUAUCCAGGUUGACCUCGGAUCAGGUAGGGAUAUCCGCUGAACUUAAGCAUAUCAAUAAGCGGAGGA